rnacentral:tRNA from 9 species
AGGUUAGUAGUUCAAUUGGUAGAGCGUCGGUCUCCAAAACCGAAUGUUGGGGGUUCGAGUCCCUCCUAACCUGCCA